rnacentral:lncRNA from 1 species
GAAUUCUCAAGUAGAAGCUUGGGGAGUGGAUGUAGGUGCAAGAUUGGCACCGAACCACUAUAAAUUCUCUUGUUUGUGUUGUGUCUAAUUGCUCUUCUUUAGAACUUCUUUAUUCUCUUGCCUUCUUGCUUUUAACCAUUUGCCUAGAAUCAACUAUACUCUCUUUAUUUAUCUAGCUAUUGUUAAAUAAUUUUCAUAAGGUAUAAGUUAAGUUUAAAAUUUUUAGAAACCCAAUUCACCCCCCC